GAUGAACGCUGGCGGCGUGCCUAAUACAUGCAAGUCGAGCGAACAGAUGAGGAGCUUGCUCCUCUGACGUUAGCGGCGGACGGGUGAGUAACACGUGGAUAACCUACCUGUACGACUGGGAUAACUUCGGGAAACCGGAGCUCAUACCGGAUCAUAUAUUGACCCGCAUGGUUCCAUAGUGCGAGACGCUUUUGCUGUCACUUAUCGAUCGAUCCGCGCCGCAUUAGCUAGUUGGUCAGGUUACGGCUUACCAAGCCAACGAUGCGUAGCCGACCUGAGAGGGUGAUGGGCCACACAGGAAUUGAGACACGGUCCAGACGCCCUCGGGAGGCAGCAGCAGGGAAUCUUCCGACAUGGGCGAAAGCCUGACGGAGCAACCCCGCGCCAGGGGUGAAGGUUCACGGAUCGUAGAACGCUUUUAUUAGGGAAGAACAAAUGGGUAAGUAACUAUGCACGUCUUGACGGUACCUAGACAGAAAGCCACGGCUAACUACGUG
rnacentral:rRNA from 1 species